ACCGUCCUAGCUUAGUGGUAAAGCGUCCUCGAGUCACAUUGAGGAAGAGAGCAGUUCGAUUCUGCUGGGCGGCA